ACUUUCCCCCCAGCUUUAUUAAGUUUUAAAUGACAGAUAAAAACUGUAUAAAGAUUUAUAUGAGAAAAAGAGACAAUUCACAGAAUUAGAAUUAUUUUAUUUUCUGUCUUUACAGAGGUAUGUUUGGCUGGUUUGUGAGACAUUC
rnacentral:snoRNA from 1 species